UGGGAGAAAAUAUUCUCAAACUAUGCACCUAACAAAGGACUAAUAUCCAAAAUCUACAAAUGGUAACUUCUUAAGACUUCUAAAAAAAUGAUGACAAUCUUAGUCCUUUAAAAAUAUAUGUAUUACUUCCUUUUUUGCUAGAAUUUAAUGUUCAGGAAAAUGUGAAAUCAAACUGAACCUUGUUCUAUUUAGACAAUAUAUUUUAUUUUAAUUUGUUUUAUUGUCUUAAUGUAAGUUUUUGUGUCCUAAAAACUCCAGUUAUUCUCCAAGAAAUGUUUGCUAAUCUCAUCAAAAAUUUUACAUAAUAUCUUUUUAAAAGUUUUAUGUUAGAUACUCUCAUCCUUUUUUUACAAUAGGUAAAUUUCAAUCUAUUAUAGUUUAAGAAUUUUUCUUUUGCCUUUGCAGGACGUGAGAACAUAAUGGUUACAGGUAGGGCAUGGGUUCUGGUGCCAGACUGCUUAAGUUGAAGACCUUGCUCUUCCAGUUUCUUUGUGAACCUAGGAAUAUUCCUUGACCUCUCUGUCCCUCAGUUUCUCCUUUAUAAGGCUAUUGUUGUCUCCCCAGCUUUCUCACCAUGACAAUCACCACCUUCUUUUUGAAUUUUCUGAAGUGAGAAAAGAGUUUUCGGAUCAUGUAGGUGGAUUUUCUUGGUCCCCUUUCUGUCCGUCUGGGUAUGUGGAGUCUUCCUCAACUAUCUUUAGCAGGAGAGCUGGUUCCUGUAAAUGUAUACUGUCUUUUCCAUUAUUCAGUUGAGAUACAAAUGGGAAAUGUGUUAUUUGACCUCAGUUCCUCAUAUGUCCAGCAUUUUAAAGCAGCAGCACAGGGUGGUCCCAGCAGCCUCGAUAAGCAGGAAACUAGCAGGACCGUAGGGGGUUGACUGUGGAAGAAUCCUGGGACUCACAAAUUAGUGUGAAGGCUAGAACAAGCAGAAAGGUAGAGAUAGAAAAUUGACUAAUGGUCUUCUUAAUUUCACUUGGGAGAAGAAAUAGAAACUGUGUUUCUUUUCCCCACCUGUAAAUAUCUAUGCCUAUAUUUCCUGGUUUGUCCAGGACAAGCUAGAUUAUGUCUAUUCAGUUGGCAUACUGAUUCACUCUCACAAGUGUCCCUGUUUAGAUGAGAAGUUACAUGGCCCUCCCCCAUAUCUGGACUUCUUUCGCAUUCCGCCAAGCGACUGAAUAUCUGAAGAGAUAACACAACGGUAUAUCAAUCAACUCUCCAACUAAAGACAGAUGAUGAUGCUUCUAAGCACUCAGGUUAGCACAAGCAGGGAAAAGGGGAUUGUAUGGAACAAAUUUCUCUGUUUCUCAGGAAUCUGUAAUAAUAAGUUAUGUGCUAAGUAACUAUGGAUGUCAAUUAAAUUAUCAGUUCAUUUUUUCUCUUGGUCAGAAUUAACUUAUGAGCAGCAGCAGUCCAGAUUAUAUUCUCUCUCUUCUAAGAAAUGAAUCGUCAAAAAGUUGAAUUCAGAUUAUAUCAGAUUGCAUGUUUUCUGGAAAAUGUCUAAAUAGUUUGUUCCUUCUCUCACCUCACUCUUCACCAGUGUAUACUGCUCCUCUAUGGUCCUUGUGAAGUUGUAAUUAUCCACCCUCCCUCCCUGACUAUAAUAAUUUGUGUUUAAGGGACAUGUAAAUCUCUCUGGACUUUAUCUUCUGUAAUAUAAAGAAUUUGAAAAGAAUUGGCUAAAUUUACUUCUAAAAAUCUGUAAACAUAAGAUUCUGUUUUCCCAUUCUUCAUAACAAAAUGCUAUUAUCUUUCCCAUCAAUUACAGCACUUUCCUUUUAACAAGAUUCACCUUCCCAUUGCUAUAUCCCAGUAAAUUACAUCCCUGUCUCAGUGAAACUUUGUGUUUAAUUUCUCUUCUUGUGUUAAAAUUUCAAGGCCAUUUAUUAUUCAUUCUCUGUGCAUUACUUUAUAAACAUUAGAGACCACAAACAACAUCCUAUCCACCUUCUUGCUGAUUUCUUCCAGAAUAUCCAAAUAUCAGCCACCACCCCCUUUUGUUUCUGUCCUUCAAUAUUUCACAAUUCCAACUGUAUGUUUCCCUCAGUCCUUCAAAUUUCCUUAAGAGCUCCUUGACUAAUGGUCUUCCUCACAAAGCACUCUUCUUAAUUCUUCACUGCCACUUGCCAGGAGUCCUUAAUUUUGUGUCAUGAACCUAAUGUAGGAAGUGUUGUCCUUUUCUUCUACUCUGCGGAACUAGUUUUUCAAACCCAAUAUCAUCUUUCCUUUUUCAAAAUUAUAUACUUUAGCUAAAAGAAGAGAUUAAAAUAUCUCUGCUCUUCAGACCUCAAGUUUCCUACAAAGGAUUUUGAAGUCACUGGAGACAGAUUCAAGAUUUAUACUGAAGUAGGUUAUGUAAUAGAAACAUCUGACUCUCUUGACAGCACUAGGCCCUGAUUAACCAUACUCUAUAAAGCAGAAUUUCUACUGAUUAGAGGCAAUUCAAAAAAUUUAGGAACUAGUUGCAUGUUCCCGGGGCAUUAAAGAAGUCUCCUUUCCUUGAAGACAUAGGGGAAGUAACUUCGCUCACAUGUAUUUCUGCAACUUUCUGCAUCUCACUGCCCUUUCUCUUCUUCUGCCACUUUCAACGAAAUUUAAACUUCUAUUAAAAAUUUGGAAAGUACUAAGGGAAAAAAUGAACCCUAAAAUGAACCUUCAAAGGAGAAAAGGCAAUAAAAGUUAAGGAAAUAAGAUGUGUUUAGUAUCCUACUUUAUGACAACCAAAGAUUAUAUGAGAGCAAAAUGAAAAUGAAAUAAGGUAUUUUUAUGAAAAUUGGUUAAGAUUUUACAUGUGAAUUCCAACCUGUUAUUAAAAUUUUCUGAGCCAGACAGAAAAUGGGAUGCAGACAAGGAACAGUACUCAAUGACAGUGACAUUUCCUGACAGAGCAAUUCUUUGCAUAUCAGCAGCACUAAUUAUAUUCAAUCUGACAGCAGCAGUUUAACUCAUUCACCAGAGGAAAGUGCUUCUUAUAAGACCACUGAUUUAAGCAUUUAUUUGGAUGCCAAUUUUAGCUUGGCAAUAUAUAUUUAAAAUGUACAAUUAAUUUUAAUGACUAAUGUACAAAUUGUAAACAUGAUUUCUCGUCAAUGCUGUAGAAUAGUGUAUGUGUAAUUGAAAGUAUGAGGUGUCUGCAUUUGGGAAUCACACAUAAAGUCACAUUAAACACUUUAGAUAUUCCCUCAGACACCUUAAAUUUUUCUGUUACAAGGGUAAGCCCAUUACCUGCCAGGCAAUAUUUUGCUAAUGUCAGCCAGCACAUAUAGUAUUUAAAAGAUGGUAAUUUUUAGUUGGCAAUAUCAUAUUUACAGAACAAAAAGUCAAGUAGAGAUUAUUCAGACAAAAAUAUAUUGUGUAACUGAAAUUAUGAAGACCGAAUGUUUAGCAUGAUUAAAUCAAAAGCUUAACUCUUACCUUGUACAGCUCUUUCCCAUCAAACGAACACUGUACUUCCCUCCAUGCCUGGUCCCUACAUGCAUACUGACACCUUUCAGGGAUUCAAGCUGUGCUUCAAUAAUUGUAAAGAGAAUUCUGAAAAAUUCUGCUGUCUUAGAAAUGGGAUAAAUUUAAAGGGAGUAUAAAGGGUACAUUUUCCUUUUAAGAUAAAAGUGGAUAAACAGGAGACACUUGACAUUGAACAUUUCCUUAAGGACUUAGUGAAAUGCUUUACACAAAAGGACUCUCUGGACUUUAUCAACUCAAAGAAUGACUGAUCUUAUAAGUAGUGAUCCUAUAUUUAUCUGUGAGCAAAGUUCAGAGCUUAGUCAGGCAAUUCUCAAAGAGUGGUGCUAUAGUUUGGAUGUUUGUACCCCCAGUUGUCAUGUUGAAAUUUGGUCCCCAUGGCACAAGGUAGGGCCUAAUGGCAGGUGUUUGGAUUAUGGGAGAAAAUCCCUCAUGAAUAGCUGGGUGCUGUCCUCAUAGUAAUGAGUGAGUGCUCACUUGAUUAGUUCCCUUGAGAGUUGGUUGUUGAAAAGAGGCUGGCACCCCCCACCCUUUCUCUUUCUCUCCCUCCCUCACUGUGUGAUCUCUGCACACACUGGCUCCCCUUUGCCUCCUGCCAUGAGUGGAUGCAGCCUGAGGCUUUCACCAGAUGUGCAGUCUUUCAGCUAGCAGAAUCACGAGCUAAAUAAACUUCUCUACAAGUCACCCAGCCUCAGGUAUUCCUUUAUAGCAACACUAAACAGACAAGAAGCCAGGAGGCUUUCCCUCCAUUGCCUCUCACAGUUCUCUUUCUUAUGUGUUCUGUGUCUUUUUUAUCCAAACUUAAAUAGGAAGCAUUGCUAUCAUGUUUCAAGUCAUUUGUAAUUAAUGAAAUUCUUUAAAGCCAUCUGUACACAAGUUUAUUUGGAUCUAUAUAAAGACCUUUUCCUUAAAACUUGGAUUAGGCUGAGAUUUUAAAUACUCCAGAUAGCAAACACUUUACAGUUUGUUACUUCUAGCAUUGUUAGAACUGGCAGAAAAAAAGUUGAUAAUGUUUUAAAAUGUCUUGUCUAACUUUGCCUUUCUGUCUUUGCUUUAACAUAUUAAAAUAACUUCUUUAUUCUAGGCAUCUUCUAGUAAAGUGUUGCCACCUUUUAUGGAGCCUUUG